AUACUUACCUGGCAGGGGAGAUACCAUGAUCCUGAAGGUGUUUCUCCCAGGGCGAGGCUUAUCCAUUGCAUGCCGGAUGUUCCGACCCCUGUGAUUUCCCCAAAUGUGGGAAACUCAGCUGAAUAACUUGUGGGAGUGGUGGACUGCGUUUGCACUCUGCCC